GCAGGGGACAUGGGGAAGGGGAUGUGGGACACAGGGCAGCAGACAUAAGGAAGGGGACAGGAAGAAGAGGACAUGGGGAAGAGGACGCUGCAGCUUUUAUCUCGUGCUCGCUGCAGCCAGGAAGGGCUUGGCGUUCCUGCAUUAGUGAUGAAUUGGGAAGGAGGCCCUGCUCCACCGCGCUGCAAAGCAUUCCUGGCUUGCAGGCUUGUGCCAUUGUUUCAAGCAAAGCUGUGCUGAAAAAUGAAGAGGUUGGGAGCCAGGAGGGGGGAAGUGAUGGAGGCAAUCCCCGCUGUUCCCGCAGCGAUGCAGGGGAGGAGGAAACCACAGGGGAUGGCAAAAAAUAAAGCGAGGAAACCUGCUUGACCCAGCGAGGAACUGGCAGCGACUCACCUCGCCGGGGAGGAAAGAUGCCAUUUUGUCACCUCUCCAGCGACAGGCAGGUGGCGGGGGGGGGGCGACGUGAGACAGCGGGGUCCCGCCAAGUGCUGCAGGCAGGAAUCGAUGGCAGGUCAGGGCCGGAGGCUCUGUGGGCAGGGCACGGGCUCCCUGUCCCCCCCCCCAGACAAGCCGCAGCUCUGUGGAGCUGUUCCAAGGAGCCGUGUGCCAGCAGGGUUGGCCCGCAGCCUCUCUGCCCGCAUCGCUCUCCCACUCUCGUACCACAUCCUCGGGAGCGGUUGGUUUGUCUGCCAGGAGAAGGUCUUCAAUCAUCGCGGAUCUGCAGCACUUUGGGGACCCCGUGUCGCUCGCUGCCCGCGUGCCUCCAACCUCUGCUGCCAGGGCAGGGCGGGCUGGCAGCUCUGCGGUGGGAGCUUCUGAGGCAGAGCUGCCUGUCUGGACACAGCGAGGCCGCUUCCUCCAACCUGCAGCUACAAGGAGAGUCAGAAGGGGAUUUCUAACCUUUUUUUAACCCUUUUUUCUUUUUAGGUUUGAACCCAACUCUGGGAAGGUGCCCCAAGGAACGGGGAGAUCAGAAACAAACCCAAGGCGGGGAACCGUCUGAGGGGGCCCCCGGAGAAAUGCCUUGAGUGCAAAGCCGGCGUGCUGCGGGAGCAGAGCACGAGAUCCAGCAUCUGCUGGGAGGUGCUGGGGAUUUGGAGAGCCUGAAAGCUCUGUCUGUGUGCUUUGAAGCAGGUCAGCCUCCCGCGGGGAGCAAGGAAGUGCCAGCAGCCCGGCCGGGAGCAGCUCGCAGCCCGCCGGCAGCCGGGGAUGCUCAGCCAGCAGCCUCGUGGUUUGUUCGACCCUUUGCCCACCGAACCGAAGCUGCUAAUUAGCUCUAACAACAGGGACGUCUGUUCCUCUGAAGUCUCCAGCCUGAAAACGCCCCAGACCAAUUUCUCCUAAAUCCUCCUCCCCUCGCACAUCCAUCAGGAAUAACAUCCACUUACCGUGCUCCCUGCCCCCAGGCUGAGUCUGAACCGGUGACCUCGAGGUGAAAGCGCUUGAAAAGCUUUGGCCCUCCCCGCAGCCAGCACGCUCCCAGCGGGAUUUUCAGCAGCACUUACGGGGCAGGGAGAGUUUUAGCAGCCGCCGUACCGCAGCGGCCCCCCGGCCCAGAGCCACGCUGCCCUUUCACACGGGAAUCCCACCCGCCCGGCUCUGGCCGUGCCCUGGGAGCAGCUGUGAGACCCGGGGUCAGGCUGCAGCUACCGCGCUGCUCGGCCAGCCCCUGCCUGGAGCUGCAGCUCAGCUCAGCCUGCACGGCACAGGGCCGGGGGAGCGCCGGGCCUCAGCUCCAUCCUUGUGCUGGUGAGGCCUCAGCGCUUGGACGAAGAGCGCCGUCAUGGGCUCACAGUGACACCAGGCUCUGUGACCCCUCCAGGCCCGUGGCCCCAUAACCCACCUGAUGCCCCGUAACCUGCUCACGGCCCCGUCGCCCAUCAAGGGCUGCGGGGCCGGCAUUUAUCAAGGCCCCAUAACCCACCCAAGGUUCUGUGACCCCAGCUGAUGCCCAGGAGCUGUAACCCCCUGCCCAGGGGCCCCAUAACCCACCUUAUGUCCUGUAACCUACCCAAGGCCCACAGCCCCAUAGCCCAUCAAGGGCUGCAGGCCCUGUAAUCUACCAAGGACCUGCAGGCCAGCUGAGGCCCAGGUCCCUGUAAUCCAGCCAAGGCCCUGGGUCCCGUAACCCAUCCAAGGCCCUGUAACCCCACCAAGGCUCACAGCCCCAUAACCCACCUGAUGCCCUCUAACCUGCCCACAGCCCCAUCAUCCAUCAAAGACAGCAGGCCCUGUAAUCUACCCAAGGCCCAGGACCCCGUAACUCACCCAGGGCCCUGUAACCCCACUGAGGUCCAGGGCCCUAUAUCCCACCCAAGGCUCUGUAACCCCACUGAGGUCCAGGGCCCUAUAUCCCACCCAAGGCUCUGUAACCCCACUGAGGUCCAGGGCCCUAUAUCCCACCCAAGGCUCUGUAACCCCACUGGGCCUGUAGCCCCAUAACCCAUCAAAGACUGCAGGCCCUGUAAUAUACCCAAGGCCCCAUAAGCUGCCCAGGGCCCCAUUACCCACCCAAGGCCCAGGGCCUCGCAGUCCAUUGUAGACAGCAGGCCCUGUAACCCACCCCAAGGCCCCAAUAACCCACUCAAGGCCCAUGAUACUGUAACCCCUCCAAGACCCUGUAACCCACCUGAGGCCCCAUAACCCACCCGAGGCCCAGGGCCCUAUAACCCCCCAGGACCCCAUAAGCCACUAUAGGCUGCAGGCCCUGUAACCCCAUCAAGGCCCACAGCCCCACGAGCCAUAUGGGACUGCAGGCCCUUUAAUCUACCCAAGGCCCAGGACCCCAUAACCCAUCAGAGACUGCAGGCCUUGUAACCCACCCCAAGGCCACAUUACUGCCUCAAGGCCCAAGGCCCUGUAGCCCACCCAAGGCCCAGGGCCCCGUAACCACCCCCCCCCCAAAGCUCAGACUCCCAUCCGGAGCCCAUACACCAACACCCCCCCGCCCCAUUUUGGCUGCUCAGCCCAAUCUCUGCUGCGUGCCUCAGAGCCCCUCAGCCUCCUUCCCCAGGGGAAGGAAAUUCUCCCACUCCAGCUGGCCUGGGAGAUACCAAAGGAAGAUGUUAUCAGGGCAGAGCAGGCUCGCUAACCAGAGGACGGCUCUAAUUAUUAAGAGCCAAUUCUAUUACAGCGAUCGCAGCCCCGGGGCGAUGGGGGGCCAUGCCCUCCCGAGGGGCCCCCGCGCCCCCCCAGGACAGCAUUUCUAAGCAAGAAAACAGGCAGCACGUCACCAUCUUAACCAACCUUCUUAUUUCUUUAUUUGAAAGGCACAGCUUGUACGUCCUUGAUACAGCAUUUUCAGUUCCUCUUAUUAUAGGUCAAGUGAUUAAACACAAAAAGCAAAACAA